rnacentral:rRNA from 1 species
GAUCCUGGCUCAGGAUGAACGCUAGCUACAGGCUUAACACAUGCAAGUCGAGGGGAAACGGACAUCGAAAGCUUGCUUUUGAUGGGCGUCGACCGGCGCACGGGUGAGUAACGCGUAUCCAACCUGCCCAUCACUUGGGAAUAACCUUGCGAAAGUAAGACUAAUGCCCAAUGACAUCCCACGAAGGCAUCCGAAUGGGAUUAAAGUAUUUAUCGGUGAUGGAUGGGGAUGCGGU